UCAGNAAAGUCUGGAGUAAAAGGCUAUGGCUCANCCAUAGUGUGCUCUGGAAACUGUNUGACUUGAGUGCAGAAGGGGAGAGUGGAAUUCCAUGUGUAGCGGUGAAAUGCGUAGAUAUAUGGAGGAACACCAGUGGCGAAAGCGGCUCUNUGGUCUGUCACUGACGCUGAGGCUCGAAAGCGUGGGUAGCGAACAGGAUUAGAUACCCUGGUAGUCCACGCCGUAAACGAUGAGUGCUAGGUGUUAGGCCCUUUCCGGGGCUUAGUGCCGGAGCUAACGCAAUAAGCACUCCGCCUGGGGAGUACGACCGCAAGGUUGAAACUCAAAGGAAUUGACGGGGGCCCGCACAAGCGGUGGAGCAUGUGGUUUAAUUCGAAGCAACGCGAAGAACCUUACCAGGUCUUGACAUCCCGAUGCUAUUCUUAGAGAUAGGAAGUUACUUCGGUACAUCGGAGACAGGUGGUGCAUGGUUGUCGUCAGCUCGUGUCGUGAGAUGUUGGGUUNNNNNNNGCNACGAGCGCAACCCUUAUUGUUAGUUGCCAUCAUUAAGUUGGGCACUCUAGCGAGACUGCCGGUAAUAAACCGGAGGAAGGUGGGGAUGACGUCAAAUCAUCAUGCCCCUUAUGACCUGGGCUACACACGUGCUACAAUGGUCGGUACAACGAGUUGCGAGCCGGUGACGGCAAGCUAAUCUCUGAAAGCCGAUCUCAGUUCGGAUUGGAGGCUGCAACUCGCCUCCAUGAAGUCGGAAUCGCUAGUAAUCGCGGAUCAGCACGCCGCGGUGAAUACGUUCCCGGGCCU
rnacentral:rRNA from 1 species